AGGCAGCAGUGGGGGAAUAUUGCACAAUGGGGGAAACCCUGAUGCAGCCAUGCCGCGUGUGUGAAGAAGGACCUUCGGGUUGUAAAGCACUUUCAGUAGGGAGGAAGGUAGUGUAGUUAACACCUGCAUUAUUUGACGUUACCUACAGAAGAAAGCACCGGCUAACUCCGUGCCAGCAGCCGCGGUAAUACGGAGGGUGCGAGCGUUAAUCGGAAUUACUGGGCGUAAAGCGCAUGCAGGCGGCCUGUUAAGUCAGAUGUGAAAGCCCGGGGCUUAACCUCGGAAUUGCAUUUGAAACUGGCAGGCUAGAGUCUUGUAGAGGGGGGUAGGAAUUUCAGGUGUAGCGGUGAAAAUGCGUAGAGAUCUGAAGGAAUACCAGUGGCGAAGGCGGCCCCCUGGACAAAGACUGACGCUCAGAUGCGAAAGCGUGGGGAGCAAACAGGAUUAGAUACCCUGGUAG
rnacentral:rRNA from 1 species